rnacentral:lncRNA from 1 species
AUUUCAGGCGAGCCGAGCCCCAGAGCCAUGUGUCUGGUGCGCAGUGUUAACAGGGCAGUUAUACCUUUUACAGACAACUGUGGCUCCAAGUCAAGUAUGAACUUACACAAACAGUUUAUAUAACAAGUGGAGGUGUGCGCCUGCGUGCCAAACUUGCUGACUCGUGCAGGCCUGGAUACCCGCCUCAGACUAUUCCUUGACCGAAGCACUUCCAGGGCAGGAAACUGAAGCUCUUGGGAAGGUGGAAGUUGCACGUGGUCUCACAGUCAACUGUGCCAGAAUAGGAGGCCAGGAACCAUCUCUGCUGGAGGAAGACCCACCACGCAUCCCUUCAAGAAUGCCAAGGUCCAGAGCAAGUGCUUCCCUUCUAUGGGCACAGGAGGGCUGUGGGAGCCCACAGAAUGUGCUUCUGGCCAGAGUGGGAUCCCCGAGGAAGAUGUUAAGACCUCUAAUAAUAUUUAAGAGCAAAAUUAGCACAGCUCCAGCCCAUGGGCAAGUUAAGAGACAGGAGUAGUGUCUGUGGAGUGGAGGAAAGCAGAGGCUGCCGCUGACCAUCCUGCAGCCCUCGCUCUGGCUGCUCACAGCUCUCCACCUUCUCUGGACUUCGUCACUUCAGUAUGUGAAACAACCAUUUCAACCAGCUUGGACAAAAGAGAGAAGCCAAGAUGGGGCUGAGAAACCAAUGCAGGCAGGCCCAGGGACCCAGGAGUCAGGGACCAGGUGCUACCAGAUGCUUGCUCCGACUCGUGUUGCUGCUGUCUUCUCUGUGCCUCAACUCUGUCCUCUGUCACUGCAGGCAGCUUCCUCCCAAGGUGGAUGAAAAAGUCUGGGGAGGACUUUGACUCUUACCCAUCCCCUGGAAAAAUCAACUGGGGAGGUGGAAUUCAUGGAAGAACAUGGCAGCUCCUGAGGCAGAUGUUUGGGUUGGAAAGAACACAGCAUUCAUUCAUUCAUGUGGCACUUUUUUUUUUUUUUGACGGAGUUUCACUCUGUCACCCAGGCUGGAGUGCAGUGGCGCGAUCUCAGCUCGCUCAUGCAGCACAUUUUUAUUGAGCAAAACUGAGAGGCUGAGUGAGAGACCAAAGUCUUCACUGAUGAGGGAGAGGGUGCCCAGAGAUUGGCAGAUGAAGGUGAAGAGAAAAGGUAGAGGACACCAAGGGCCCUGCCAAGCAGCAGAAGUAGGAGGAAUUGAGGAGCUUCUUCCGGAAUGAAAUCAGUUGCACUUUUUUAUUUUUUAUUUUUUGAGACAGGGUAUUUCUCUGUUCUCCAGGCUGGAGUGCAGUGGUUGAUCUCGGCUCACUGGUGACCAACCUUUGGCUCCUGGCUCAAGUGGUCUUCCUGCCUCAGCCUCCUGAGGAGUUGGUAUUACAGGCACGUACCACCAUGCCUGGCUGAUUUUUGUAUUUUUAGUAGAGAUGGGGUUUCACCAUGUUGUCCAGGCUGAUCUUGAACUCCUGAACUCAAGUAAUCAGCCCACCUCGGCCUCCCAAAGUGCUGGGAUUUUAGGCGUGAGCUACCGGGCCCGGCCCAAUUGCUCCUUUGAAAGGAAGUCCUGCUAUGAAAAAAAGUAGCAGUUGAACUAAAUGGUGAAUUGAAUGAUGUAGCUGCUUUACAUCCUGGCUCAAGCUCCUGACCUUGUUGUAAAACAAUAAAAGUUUGGGCACCAGCAGUGAGUCUGCCAGCUACACUGUGAGUAGCUGUGCCCGAGGGGAAUUCUUGCACAUACUCUAUGGGAGAUGUGUACAAGAAUGUGCAUAGUAGCAUUGUCUAUAAUAGCUAAAAAAGGAAACAACCCAGAUAUUCAUAAGUAACAGAAUAACGAAGAAAUUUUGGCAUAAUGAAAUCCCAUAUAGCAAAGAAACCAAAUAAACUACAGCUACACUCAUCAACAUGAACAAAUUUCAAAAAUACUGUUGAGCAAAGACAGCAUGUUAAGAAGGUUACAAUUAGCAUGGCUUUGUCACAUGAAAUUCACAAAAGGCACCACUAAGCAGUAUAUUGGUUAGGGAUCCACAACAAAUGGAUUAAAACUAUAAAGGAAAGCCAGGGAAUGAGUAACACCUGUGUCAGGUCAGUGGCUUGCCCCAGGGUUUGGGAAGGGAGAGCAAGACAAUUGGGAAGGGUGGGCAUGGAGUGAGCUUCAUGGUAUUGGCAAUGUUCAAUUCCUUAAGCUGGGUGGUGUGGAUAUGUGUAUCUGGUUUUUAUUAUUAUUCUUUAAGCUGGACAUAUACGUUAUGCACAUUCUUUUGUAAUAUGAUCUAUUUCACAAUGAAAAAAAAUUGUAAAGCAGAUAUAGCCAAAACCAAAGCUCCUCCACACCCCAAUAAAAGGUAGAGUUUGAUGUGGUUGAAGAGUCUGAGCCUCAAUGGAAUGAGGACUUUUCCAGAUGUGGUGCUGUACUGGCUGGAAUAGCAUCCGGGAGAAAGGAGGAUGGCAAAGCAACCCACACUGCCCCCUGGCCAGGGCAUCGGCAGCUGGACUGAGGGGUGCCCUGGUAUCCCCGGGACCUCCUUUUCCUAUGGCUCUGGGACCGCUGUGUGCCCACUCUAUGCCCCUUUCUUCCUGCACCACAAUCCUCAGGGGUUGGCUGGCUUUUCGGAGUCGCCACCAGGUACUUUAUUUCUCACAGCUUUCCCACGGCUGCCUGCUGAGUAGGAGGCAAUUAUCCUAACUUCUCAUGUUUUUGACCCUCAAAGCAAGUGCCCCAGCCCAUUUGGAGUUAAAAAUGUGAAAGCAUUUUGGACCACAUCCAAAAUCUGGUCACUCACCAUGUGAUUACCUUUUUAGGGAAGGUUUAUCAUUUGCCUGCUGAAGUUUACUUUAAUUUCUGAAUGUUUUGCAAACACAUUCUUUGUUGACAGCCCUAGCUGGAAAUGUUUCAGCUCACCGUGUUCUGGGUAAAAAACAUUGUCAAGUCUUUUUUUAACCCCUCACGUUAGAUGGUUUUUCUUGGCCUGCAUUUCAGUGUCCAUUAACCUUAGUGUCGUAACAUCUUGGAGUUAGAAGCAACCUUGGAAGCCACCCAUCCAACUUCCCACCCAGUGGGAGAAUUGUUCUGAAGCUUGCCUGAUCACCAGCCUCAGAUAGCUUGCUUUUUAAGGGCAUUGCUGUACAGACACAGAGUACCAUAGUUUACCAAUUCCCCAUAACAUUUUGCAUACAUUUUCAUGAAUCUUGCAGAAUCAGAAAGCAGUGUGAGCAAUUCCAAGUUUGCUAAUUAAAUUAAAAUGAGCACAGACUCUUACAAAACAGGUUUUAGAGUUUCAGGAGGCCUUACAUGGUCAAAGACAUUUUUCACCUACUUAAAAUAAUCCUAUCCUGGUUAGCAGGGACAGAGAGAUGAGGGAGUUGGACACAUCACAUGCUUGGAAGGAGAAGCAGAGAAGGAUUGCUUGGCAGUCCUGUGUGUACAUUUUCUUCUGUCCCUUUGUUCUUACUUUCUUGCCUCCUUAAAAGAACAGAGAUGGCCAGGUGCGGUGGCUCACACCUGUAAUCCCAGCAUUUUGGGAGGCCGAGGUGGGCGGAUCACGAGGCCAGGAGUUCGAGGCCAGCCUGACCAACAUGGUGAAACUCCGUCUCUACUAAAAAUACAAAAAUUAGCCAGGCGUGGUGGUGGGCGCCUGUAAUCCCAGCUACUCAGGAGACUGAGGCAGGAGAAUCACUUGAACCUGGGAGGUGGAGGUUGCAGUGAGCUGAGAUCGCACCACUGCACUCCAGCCUGGGCAACAGAGUGAGACUUGGUCUCAAAAACAAACAAACAAACAAACAACAAACAAAAACAAAACAAAACAAAAAAAGAACAAAUGGUAUAUAAAUGAAGAAUAUAGACAUUGCCCUGCUGAAGGGCGCUGGACUGGCCUGUCAUCCUCCCACUGCCACCGCCUGUCUUUCCACCUAAUGGUAACUGGAUGCCUUGUCCCAUUAGUUUGGGCCUACCCCAGUUUCUGAGCCCACCGAGAGAUAGUGCAAUGUGUGUUAAUAGUUGCCCCUUCCACCUGUCUCCCUAACUUUUGUUCUGCUCCAGUAGAGGGAGCCAAGCGGUGAUACCAGCUGCUAUGGUGGUUAAGUGAGCUUGAGCCUUGAGCCACGCUGGGACCUUGGUGGCACAGGCCCCUCAGAGUAAGGGGAGGAAGCUGGCCUGGGAAAGACUGAAGUUAACCCAUCAGAACAACAGGGUUGUUCUGUGCCUAACCCCUCUCUCAUGCAAGCUGAGGAGAGUUUCUGGGCUAAAGAAGGUAGCUGAAGAUUUUUUUUUUUUUAAGUUAGGGGUAGGAAGCUCAAGCAGGGGUGAGGAGAGAACAAUGCAAGGUGCUGACCCAGCCUGGACACACAGGUGCAAGGUCCAGGGGGCAUGUGAAGUUCAGGUAAGCUUAAGUAAUGGUUGUGAGAAGGCCUAGUUGGUGGCACAGGGCCUGGUGGACCCUUCACAGCAUGAUACCCCAGUCAGAGCCUAUGCAGAGAGACAGGCAAGAAGUGGCAGGAUGUCGGGGCCACAAGCAGAAGCUCAGGGCAGGCCAGCAUGCCCUGCAGGCCACCAGGGGCAGGAGCCUCCUUCAAGGUUCUGAUCCUGCUGUGUGGUCCCUCCCCAGACACCCAGAUCUCCCGCAGCACGCUGAGCACCUAGAGACUGGUCCAGGACUGAUGCACUCACAGAUCUGCCUGGGUCCCGUCUGAUGACUCGAAGGGGCCAAGGAGACUGGGACUGACUGCCUGAACUGCCGGGCCCCAAGUUCCGUCAAUUCAAAUCAACAAAUACUGGACUGUGUAUCUCUGGGUGAGGGAGUUGGGGUAGGAUAAAGAUAAGGGGCUGGGUGGCCAACUAAGAGGGAGAUUAGGAAAUGCUGAUAAUGUCAUAUCAUAUGAAUUAUACAGCAGAUUACACAGCCAGAGGACACUGCUUCGUUAGUCCAUACAGGCAUCUAUUUACAUGGGGCAUUUACAUGGGAGAAGGAGAGGGGGAAGACAACAUAGGAAGAGAGGAAGCGGGGGAAGAAUUUUGCAUAGAAAAAAUGCAGUGCCAAUCCCUGACCUUGUCUUCCAGUCCAGUGGCAGGUGGCAGCAGGGAAGGACUAAAGGAGCCAUUUCCGCAGGGCGUCAGGGAGACAGAGGCCACAGCUAUCUGCUUAGGUUCCAAAGUAACUUCAGGGAUACUGAGUGGAGGAGAGGGUCAUUGUCCUCACCCCGCUGUGCAGCAAAGCAUCUCUGUGAGUGUGAGGGCAGCAGAGGUGUAACUCCAUGUUGGCACCUACACCACUGGUGUAGUGGAAGCAGCACCCUUGGCGUGCACACAGGUGUAUCCCCAGAGGGCAGCCUGAGAGCGCAGCGCAGAGCAUCCGCAGGACUUGAGUGGGAUCGGAGGUCAGGAACCAGUGACGUUCUGGACACACCCAUUAUUUUCAACUGGUUGGUACCAGGUUGGGCCAGUAGGACCUGCAAAUACUCCAGUUGUGGAAGUUAACAGAGUGUCCUCUCUAGGCGCUUUAAUUGCCACCUUCAUAACAGCCUUGAAAAAUUCCACCCGCCCCCCAACCUUUUAAAUUUCUUUUCUUUUCUUUUUUGUCUUUUGAAACGGAGUCUCACUCUGUUGCCCAGGCUGAAGUGCAGUGGUGCAAUCUCAGCUCACUGCAGCCUCCACUUCCCGGGUCCAAGCGAUUCACCUGUCUCAGCCUCCCAAGUAGCUGGGACUACAGGCACGUGCCACCAUGCCUGGCUAAUUUUUAUAUUUUUAGUAGAGACGGAGUUUCACCAUGUUGUCCGGGCUGGUCUCGAACUCCUGGCCUUAAGUGAUCCGCCCAUCCCGGCCUCCCAAAGUGCUAGGAUUACAGGCAUGAACCACCGCACCCGGUCCCUACCUUUUAAAUGUCAUAGAACUUUUCUGAAUCUGCAAUUACCUUGUUUUUUUUCCUUUGGUCCAAGGGUCAGCCAAUUUUAAAAAUUUUUUUUUCUGUAAAGAGCCAGAUAGUAAGUACUUUUGGCCUUGGGGGCCAUAUGGUCUCUGUUACAACUGCUCAGCUCUGCCACUGUGGUCUGGAAGCAGCCAUUGACAAUGCAUAGACUAACGAAUGUGACUGUAUUCAAAUAACAGAUGAUUUAUGGACUCUGACACUGGAAUUUUAUAUACAUUUUCACAAAUUACAAAACAUUCUUUUUGAUUUUUUUCACAAAUCCAAAAAUAUGAAAAACAUUUUUAACUUGUUGGGUGCAGAGACAGUCCCUGGCCGUAGUUUACCAAUCCCUGAGGGUCAGGAAGGGCUCAUAGUUGUGUUGCUAGUGCCUAGCACAAUGUCCGACAUACAGUAGGUGCUCAGCAGAUAUUUGUUGGAGGUGUGAACUGCACUUUACAUACAAGGAGACCACAGCUCAGGAGGUUAAUCAGCUCUCUGAAAUGUGGAGUUAGAACUCACACUUUCAUGGUUUGCAAUACUUUGGAAAGUGAAGUGGUUGGCAGCUCUUCCAGCUGCGAGUCCUCCACUCCUUCUACCAAAUCACAGCUUUGGCCUUCCCAGAAAAAAAUAUUGUCAUAUGGAAUUUCACAGAAUUGGGGGCCGGGCGUGGUGACUCAUGCCUGUAAUCCCAGCACUUUGGGAGGCCGAGGCAGGUGAAUCUCUUGAGGUCAGGAGUUCGAGACCAGCCUGGCCAACAUGGUGAAAUCCCGUCUCUACUAAAAAUACAAAAUUUAGCCAGGCGUGGGGGUGUGCACCUGUAAUCCCAGGUACUUGGGAGGCUGAGGCAGGAGAAUUGCUUGAACCCAUGAGGCGGAGGUUGGAGUAAGCUGAGAUCACGCCACUGCACUCCAGCCUGGGCAACAGAGCCAGACUCCGUCUCAAAAAAAAAAAAAAAAAAAAAAAAGAAUUGGGGAUUGAGAACUGCUUUUGAGCAAUAAAUCAACCAGUGAGGUAGACUCUUGUGGUAUCACCUUUCAACAUGGUCAAGCUAUGGAAACGUGAUUUUAAUUUCUCAGGUUUUUUGUUUGUUUGUUUUUGUUUUUGUUUUUAAUCUGCCAG